UACAGAGACCUCAAGCGUUAUCCGGAAUCAUUGGGCGUAAAGCGCGCGCAGGCGGUCUUUUUAAGUCUGAUGUGAAAGCCCACGGCUCAACCGUGGAGGGUCAUUGGAAACUGGGAGACUUGAGUGCAGAAGAGAAGAGUGGAAUUCCACGUGUAGCGGUGAAAUGCGUAGAGAUGUGGAGGAACACCAGUGGCGAAGGCGACUCGCUGGGACGUGACUGACGCUGAGACGCGAAAGCGUGGGGAGCAAACAGG
rnacentral:rRNA from 1 species